GCGACUGUGGCUCAGUGGAGAGAGUAGUUGUCUUGCAAUCAGAAGGUUGUUGGUUCGAUUUCAGCUUCCUCCUGCCAUAUGCU